UAAGGAAUAUUGCUCAAUGGGAGAAAUCCUGAAGCAGCAACGCCGCGUGGAGGAUGAAGGGUCUAUGACUUGUAAACUCCUGUAAAGAAGGAAAAAAUUCCCAUUAGAUGGGAGAUGAUGGUACUUCUGGAGUAAGCCCCGGCUAACUACGUGCCAGCAGCCGCGGUAAUACGUAGGGGGCAAGCGUUGUCCGGAUUUACUGGGUGUAAAGGGUGCUCAGGCGGAUUUGUAAGUCAGAGGUGAAAUCUUACAGCUUAACUGUGAAACUGCCUUUGAUACUGCAAGCCUAGAGUAUGGAAGAGAGAGAUGGAAUAUCUGGUGUAGCAGUGAAAGGCGUAGAUAUCAGAUAGAACACCAAUGGCGAAGGCAGUCACUUGGUCCAUUACUGACGCUAAAGCACGAAAGCGUGGGUAGCAAACA
rnacentral:rRNA from 1 species